CCUACCCUAACAAUGCCGUGUGAUAAGCCGGUCCAUCAGCUGCCUGAAGGUUCCCUGGAUGCCACUAUGUAGAAAAUACAAAGAACGACGGAUAUACGCUUAAGAACUGAUCUGUGGAUAAACAAGAUUUUCAAAAAUCCAAUUACUAAUGCAGUAAAUAUGACUACAACUGAUGGACCUCUAGCGACUACAGCUCAAGAAAGUCAUAUGGAACAUAUAGAAGUUGGCAAACAAGAAAAGGAACCUGUUGUAAAAGACAAGCUAGAACCUUUGGAAAUAAACCAAGAAA